rnacentral:rRNA from 1 species
AGUGAACGCUGGCGGUAGGCCUAACACAUGCAAGUCGAACGGCAGCACAGUAAGAGCUUGCUCUUACGGGUGGCGAGUGGCGGACGGGUGAGGAAUACAUCGGAAUCUACUUUUUCGUGGGGGAUAACGUAGGGAAACUUACGCUAAUACCGCAUACGACCUACGGGUGAAAGCAGGGGAUCUUUUGACCUGGCGCGAAUGAAUGAGCCGAUGUCGGGUUAGCUAGUUGGCGGGGUAAAGGCCCACCAAGGGGGCGAUCCGUAGCUGGUGUGAGAGGAUGGUCACCCACACUGGAACGGAGACAGGGACCAUACUCCUAAGGGAGGGAGCAGUGGGGAAUAUUGGACAAUGGGCGCAAGCCUGAUCCAGCCAUACCGCGUGGGUGAAGAAGGCCUUCGGGUUGUAAAGCCGUUUUGUUGGGAAAGAAAAGCAGCAGGUUAAUACCACGCUGUUCUGACGGUAACCAAAGAAUAAGCACCGGCUAACUUCGUG